CGUAUCUCCGUUUCUGACCCGGGAAACGGGUCCUGGUACGAUUUGCCGCCGAUACCGGAGUUAAUUGAUGGAUUGCCGAGGUUUUGCCGGAUUGUUGGAGUCGGGUCGGAUUUAGUAGUAAUUGGCGGGUGUGACCCGGUUACCUGGCGGGUUAUGGAUUGUGUUUUCAUUUACAAUUUCAUAUCCGGGUCAUGGCGUCGUGGGGCGGAUAUGCCAG
rnacentral:misc_RNA from 1 species